AGUUCUGUUUAUUGCUUCUGGAGACGACGAUACGAUUAAGUGCAGAAGCGGUGGGCUUAACUCUCCUCUCCAUUUUGCUGCAGCUAAAGGGCACAACGAGAUUAUUUCAUUGCUUUUGGAGAAUGGAGCUGAUGUAAACUCCAGAAAUUAAUGUGGGCAGGUAUGAUACUUGGUGUUGUCCUAUACUUGUAGUUGUGAGUUUGUUUAUUUGAUUUUGAGCAUUCCAGUCUCUGUUUGAGUUAAUUCUGAGAUGUGGGUAGUUAGAAAGAUUGUAACUUUGUGUGGUUUGAUGCAUAAAUUGGGACCUGGAAUUGAAAAUUGAAGAUCAUGAUGUGAUAAUUGGACUCAUGCCUUGUAGUUUGCUGCUUGUGUUUGUGAGUUAUGUGAUGUAUAUAUGCCUUGUGGACUUAUGGAGCUGAUGUAAAUUCCAGAAAUUACUGUGGGCAGUGGAAGAGUUAAGCUUGCUGGGACCGUGCUUUCACCAUCUGUAUAUGUAACAGGGAAUAUUGUUGGCUUGCACGGAAAAGAGACCGGUGCAGGUGAAUUCUUAGUACUAGAUGUUCUCGAGGCUGGCUUACCACCCCAGAUUGAGCUGCCACUUAAAUCAAGUACAACAUUAUUACCUCUCUCUCCUUUCUUUUGUGUUUUUUCUUCUUUGCAGUAAAGUUUUCAC